UAGGGAAUCUUCGGCAAUGGACGAAAGUCUGACCGAGCAACGCCGCGUGAGUGAAGAAGGUUUUCGGAUCGUAAAACUCUGUUGUUAGAGAAGAACAAGGACGUUAGUAACUGAACGUCCCCUGACGGUAUCUAACCAGAAAGCAACGGCUAACUACGUGCCAGCAGCCGCGGUAAUACGUAGGUGGCAAGCGUUGUCCGGAUUUAUUGGGCGUAAAGCGAGCGCAGGCGGUUUCUUAAGUCUGAUGUGAAAGCCCCCGGCUCAACCGGGGAGGGUCAUUGGAAACUGGGAGACUUGAGUGCAGAAGAGGAGAGUGGAAUUCCAUGUGUAGCGGUGAAAUGCGUAGAUAUAUGGAGGAACACCAGUGGCGAAGGCGGCUCUCUGGUCUGUAACUGACGCUGAGGAUCGAAAGCGUGGGGAGCAAACAGG
rnacentral:rRNA from 1 species